AUUUUUAGUAGACGGGGUUUCACCCUGUGGGUGAGGCUGGUCUCGAACUCCUGACCUCAAGUGAUUUGCCCUCCUUGGCCACCCAAAGUGCUGGGAUUACAGGCGUGAGCCACCAUGCUUGGCCCCCAUAAUGUUACUGGGGAUCUUUCUUUUCUGCUUUGCAAAGUGUAUAAAUUCCAUCCUCAAAGUAGCCUCAUGGUCCAUGAGGGCUGCUGGCUAGCCAACCAUCACAGCAGGAAGCAGAUGUUGGGAGCACAGCAGGGCUCAUUUCCAGUUGUCCCCUCUUAUGGAGCUUUCCAGAUGACCCACUCAAUUAAUUCUUCUUACAUUUCAUUGCUACCACUAUUUACAAGGUAGGCUAGGUACAGUGUCCCUCAGAAUAAAAUCAGAGCUCAUUUCCUGCGGAACACAGCUGGGUUAUCUGCAUUGUCUGCCUCAGGCCAGCACCUGUAAAUACAGCUGGUGGAGAGGGGCAGUGGCUGAUUCUUCUGGGUGGCAAAUUUUAAAAUAUAUGCCAAGAGUGAUUCAAAUAUUCAUUUCCUCUCAUGUAGUCUCAAGUGUGUGACUUUAUGUUUGGGAAACCCAAAGAAAGGUGGAGAAGCACAUGCAUGAAGAUAUCCAUUGCCCCCUGAUUGUUAAGCAUGACAAGUCAGAAACAACUGAAAUUUCCAACAGUGGGAAAAACACAAGCAUGCUAUGUUCUGAAAUUCACUUGGUGGAAUGUUCCGUCAGUCACUGUGAUAUGGUUUGGCUGUGUCCCCACCCAAAUCUCAUCUUGAAUUGUAGCUCCCAUAAUUCCCUUGUGUUGUGGGAGGGACCCAGUGGGAGAUAAAUGAAUCAUGGGGGCGGUUUCCCCCAUACUGUUCUCGUGGUAGUGAAUAAGGAUCAUGAGAUCUGAUGGUUUAAUAUGGGGAAACCCCUGUCUCUUCGCUGUCAUUCUUCUCAUGUCUGCCACCAUGUGAGACGUGCCUUUCGCCUUCCAUCAUGAUUGUGAGGCCUCCCCAGCCACAUGGAACUGUGAGUCGGUUAAAUCUCUUUCUUUUGUAAAUUGCCCAGUCUCCAGUAUGUCUUUAUAGCAGCAUGAAAACUGACUAAUACACACUACACACUGUAAAUGUUAGUCAUGGAGGAUGUGUACCAACAUGGAAGAGUGUUUACAAUGUAUCUUUAGAGAAAAGAUGGACUAUCCAAGUAUGCAUACUGGAAUUAUCAUUAGAUUACCAUACAUCUGGGUGAGGAGCAGAACAGAGACAUAAGUAACAGCAACCGUGAACCUCAGAGGCAGCCAAGGGAAAUGUUCCUCCCAUAUGGAAAGUCAGAAGCUGCCAGAGAGGCAAGUGGAGCAUGCAAGACAACUGAUGGCAUAGUCUCAGAACUGACCAUGAAUACUGCUCUCCACUUUCCAUUGACCAAAGCAAGUCCAACGUUGUGGGAAAGGGUCCCUCACCCACAGUGGGAGGUGAGGGGUGUGGACACUUGCCACUUGCUGAUUGAUGACCAAAAUAUCCCAGGUAUAUACCCUUUCACACUUUUCCUAUGCUUUUUUAAAUAAAGACACUCUUUACCAAUCAGAAUCACUCUACAUAUUGUUUUGCCACUCAGUUAUAUGUAUGACUACAUCUUUUUAUGUCAUAAAAAUUCUUCUGCAACAUGUGACUGCUUGCAAUUCUAUUUUGUGGUCAUAUCAUGAUUUAUUCAACCUGAUGGACAUUUAUCUUUUCCUUUAUUUAUUUAUUUAUUUAGUUAUUUACUAAGAUGGAUUUUCCCUCUUGUCACCCAGGCUGGAGUGCAAUGGCACCAUCGCGGCUCACUGCAACCUCCACCUCCUGGGUUCAAGCGAUUCUCCUGCCUCAGCCUCCCGAGUAGCUGGGAUUACAGGUGCCCACCACCACGCCCAGCUAAUUUGUGUAUUUUUAGUAGAGACGGGUUUCACCAUGCUGGCCUCGAACUCCUGACUUCAGGUGAUCCACCUGCCUCGGCCUCCCAAAGUGCCGGGAUUACAGGUGUGAGCCACUGUGCCUGGCAUCCUUCUUUUUUUCUUCUGAAAACAACACUAUAAUGGCCAUCCUCUCCUGGUAUAUAAAUCUCUGCACACAUACUUGAGUGAUUUAAGAAUUAAUUGCCAGCCUCAGGAUGGCCCCCAAUGAUCCUUGCUUCCGUAUUCAUAACCAGCAUAGUCUCCCUUCCCAGUAAAUCAGGGAGACUGCAUGUGGCCAGUAAAUUCCAGCAGAGGUAGAUGGUGUGUGACGUCUAAGGCUGGGUCAUAAAGCACACUGUGGCUUCAGACUUUCCCUUCUGGACUGCUCAUUUUAGGGGAAGCCAGCCACCAUGUCAUAAGGACAAAGCAGCCCUGAGGAGAACCAAUCCCUUGGGGAGGAACUCGGCCCCCAGUCAGCAGCCAAUACCAACUUGCCCAUGUGUGAGUUAGUCACCUUGAAAGUGGAUCUGCUGUCCCAGCCAAGCCUUCAGAUGAGACCACAGCUCUGGCCAACACCUGACUGCAGCCUCAUGAGAGACCCAGAGAACCAUCCUGUUGAGUCUCUCUUGAAUUCUUGGCCCAUAGAAAUUGCUAGUGAUAGUAAAUUAUUCUUGUUUUUUAAACCACUAAGUUUUAGGUUAAUUUAUUACACAGCAGGAAUGAUAACUUAAAUGGUGACUAUUUUGGUCAAAAGAGGCCAGGCUCUGCUACAGUAUCAAAUAAACCACACUUGAUGGCUAAUACAAUAAGGUUUAUUUCAUACUCACUUACACCUGAUGUGGGUAGGAGGGCUCUCCUGCUUGGCACGCAAGUCCCAGGGAUGCAGAGUAUUUUCACCUAGAAGCAGGUCACUUCUUCUCACAUUCAGGUGGUGAGAAAGCUGUGUUAUCACACCCAGGAGCAUGGAGCCAAGAAACAUAGUUUAGUUGUAUGCCCCAGAAUAUAACUAAAUAAACGUUUAGUAUUGCCUCUGCCACAGUGAAUCAAGAGAAAUGAAAGUGACUACUAUGUAUUUGAAAAGUAAAAAUUCCCAGAAGUACAGAAAUGCAUAUUGAAACUGAUUCAUGAUUUUUCACUUCCUGUGGAAUAAACAAAACUCCCUUUUUGAAAUCUGAGAAUAUCCAAACUUCCACAAUUGCUACAGGAUAAACACUUCCAUAUACAGCUGGUAGGAAUAAGAAUAGGCUUGACUUUUCCAGAUGAUAAAGUUGCAAGAUUUAUCCACAGCCUUUAAAAUAUUUAUAUUCCUUGACCCAAAUAAUUUUGCUUCUGGGAAUCUAUUAUAGGGAGAUAUAUAUAUAUAUAUAUAUAUAUAUAUUUUUUUUUUUUUUUUUUUUUUUGAGACGGAGUCUUGCAUGUCACCCAGGCU
rnacentral:lncRNA from 1 species